AUUGAACGCUGGCGGCAGGCCUAACACAUGCAUGUCGAGCGGAUGAAGGGAGCUUGCUCCUGGAUUCAGCGGCGGACGGGUGAGUAAUGCCUAGGAAUCUGCCUGGUAGUGGGGGAUAACGUCCGGAAACGGGCGCUAAUACCGCAUACGUCCUGAGGGAGAAAGUGGGGGAUCUUCGGACCUCACGCUAUCAGAUGAGCCUAGGUCGGAUUAGCUAGUUGGUGGGGUAAAGGCCUACCAAGGCGACGAUCCGUAACUGGUCUGAGAGGAUGAUCAGUCACACUGGAACUGGGACACGGUCCAGACUCCUACGGGAGGCAGCAGUGGGGAAUAUUGGACAAUGGGCGAAAGCCUGAUCCAGCCAUGCCGCGUGUGUGAAGAAGGUCUUCGGAUUGUAAAGCACUUUAAGUUGGGAGGAAGGGCAGUAAGUUAAUACCUUGCUGUUUUGACGUUACCAACAGAAUAAGCACCGGCUAACUUCGUG
rnacentral:rRNA from 1 species